rnacentral:sRNA from 1 species
UGGAUAGUCCCAAAGAUGAAAGUCUUUUUAUCUAGGAAACAAUGCUGCCUGGACAAGCUACAGUGUGAGCUUCUCCUGGUACCACAGUUAUGUGCCUCAACUCAGACCUGGAGGGGACCACCUUUCAGAGAUCAGAGAACAGUUCAAUGUACCUGUCUGUAUAAUACUUGG